rnacentral:rRNA from 1 species
UUAAGCGAAUAAGCGUACACGGUGGAUGCCUAGGCAAUCAGAGGCGAUGAAGGACGUGCUAAUCUGCGAAAAGCGUCGGUAAGGUGAUAUGAACCGUUAUACCCGACGAUAUCCGAAUGGGGAAACCCAGUAUCCAAUGGAUACUAUCAUUAACUGAAUCCAUAGGUUAAUGAGGCGAACCGGGAGAACUGAAACAUCUCAGUACCCCGAGGAAAAGAAAUCAACCGAGAUUCCCCUAGUAGCGGCGAGCGAACGGGGAGCAGCCCAGAGUCUUAAUCAAUAGCAGUGUCAGGAGAACGGUCUGGAAAGUCCGGCAGUAAAGGGUGAUAGCCCCGUAUCUGAAGAUGCUGUUAUUGUGAACUCGACGAGUAGGGCGGGACACGUGUUAUCCUGUCUGAAUAUGGGGGGACCAUCCUCCAAGGCUAAAUACUCCUGAUUGACCGAUAGUGAACCAGUACCGUGAGGGAAAGGCGAAAAGAACCCCGGCGAGGGGAGUGAAAAAGAACCUGAAACCGUGUACGUACAAGCAGUAGGAGCCUCUUUAUGGGGUGACUGCGUACCUUUUGUAUAAUGGGUCAGCGACUUAUAUUCUGUAGCAAGGUUAACCGCAUAGGGGAGCCGUAGGGAAACCGAGUCUUAACUGGGCGAAUGAGUUGCAGGGUAUAGACCCGAAACCCGGUGAUCUAUCCAUGGGCAGGUUGAAGGUUGGGUAACACUAACUGGAGGACCGAACCGACUAAUGUUGAAAAAUUAGCGGAUGACUUGUGGAUGGGGGUGAAAGGCCAAUCAAACCGGGAGAUAGCUGGUUCUCCCCGAAAGCUAUUUAGGUAGCGCCUCGUGAACUCAUCUUCGGGGGUAGAGCACUGUUUCGACUAGGGGGUCAUCCCGACUUACCAACUCGAUGCAAACUGCGAAUACCGAAGAAUGUUAUCACGGGAGACACACGGCGGGUGCUAACGUCCGUCGUGAAGAGGGAAACAACCCAGACCGCCAGCUAAGGUCCCAAAGUCAUGGUUAAGUGGGAAACGAAGUGGGAAGGCUCAGACAGCCAGGAUGUUGGCUUAGAAGCAGCCAUCAUUUAAAGAAAGCGUAAUAGCUCACUGGUCGAGUCGGCCCGCGCGGAAGAUGUAACGGGGCUAAACCAUGCACCGAAGCUGCGGCAGCGACACAAAGUGUUGUUGGGUAGGGGAGCGUUCUGUAAGCCUGCGAAGGUGUACUGUGAGGUAUGCUGGAGGUAUCAGAAGUGCGAAUGCUGACAUAAGUAACGAUAAUGCGGGUGAAAAACCCGCACGCCGGAAGACCAAGGGUUCCUGUCCAACGUUAAUCGGGGCAGGGUGAGUCGACCCCUAAGGCGAGGCUGAAAAGCGUAGUCGAUGGGAAACGGGUUAAUAUUCCCGUACUGGUGGUAACUGCGAUGGGGGAACGGAGAAGGCUAGGUUGUCCGGGCGACGGUUGUCCCGGUUCAAGCAGGUAGGCAGAGUGAUUAGGCAAAUCCGGUCACUUAAUGCUGAGAUGUGAUGACGAACCACCAAGGUGGUGAAGCAAUUGAUGCCCCGCUUCCAGGAAAAGCCUCUAAGCUUCAGGUUACCAACAAUCGUACCCCAAACCGACACAGGUGGUCAGGUAGAGAAUACUCAGGCGCUUGAGAGAACUCGGGUGAAGGAACUAGGCAAAAUGGUGCCGUAACUUCGGGAGAAGGCACGCUGGCGGUAGGUAAAGUCCCUUGCGGACGGCGCUGAAGCCAGUCGAAGAUACCAGCUGGCUGCAACUGUUUAUUAAAAACACAGCACUGUGCAAACACGAAAGUGGACGUAUACGGUGUGACGCCUGCCCGGUGCUGGAAGGUUAAUUGAUGGGGUCAGCGUAAGCGAAGCUCCUGAUCGAAGCCCCAGUAAACGGCGGCCGUAACUAUAACGGUCCUAAGGUAGCGAAAUUCCUUGUCGGGUAAGUUCCGACCUGCACGAAUGGCGUAAUGAUGGCCAGGCUGUCUCCACCCGAGACUCAGUGAAAUUGAACUCGCUGUGAAGAUGCAGUGUACCCGCGGCAAGACGGAAAGACCCCGUGAACCUUUACUAUAGCUUGACACUGAACAUUGAGCCUUGAUGUGUAGGAUAGGUGGGAGGCUUUGAAGUGUGGACGCCAGUCUGCAUGGAGCCAACCUUGAAAUACCACCCUUUAACGUUUGAUGUUCUAACCUAGGCCCAUAAACUGGGUCGGGGACCGUGUCUGGUGGGUAGUUUGACUGGGGCGGUCUCCUCCUAAAGAGUAACGGAGGAGCACGAAGGUUGGCUAAGCAUGGUCGGACAUCAUGCGGUUAGUGCAAAGGCAUAAGCCAGCUUGACUGCGAGAGUGACGGCUCGAGCAGGUACGAAAGUAGGUCUUAGUGAUCCGGUGGUUCUGAAUGGAAGGGCCAUCGCUCAACGGAUAAAAGGUACUCCGGGGAUAACAGGCUGAUACCGCCCAAGAGUUCAUAUCGACGGCGGUGUUUGGCACCUCGAUGUCGGCUCAUCACAUCCUGGGGCUGAAGUAGGUCCCAAGGGUAUGGCUGUUCGCCAUUUAAAGUGGUACGCGAGCUGGGUUUAGAACGUCGUGAGACAGUUCGGUCCCUAUCUGCCGUGGGCGUUGGAAGAUUGAGAGGGGUUGCUCCUAGUACGAGAGGACCGGAGUGAACGCACCACUGGUGUUCGGGUUGUCAUGCCAAUGGCAUUGCCCGGUAGCUAAGUGCGGAAGAGAUAACCGCUGAAAGCAUCUAAGCGGGAAACUUGCCUCGAGAUGAGUCUUCCCUGUCGCUUUAAGUGACCUAAAGGAACGUUUAAGACUAAGACGUUGAUAGGCUGGGCGUGUAAGCGUAGCGAUACGUUGAGCUAACCAGUACUAAUGAACCGUGAGGCUUAACCUG